rnacentral:rRNA from 1 species
UGGCUCAGGACGAACGCUGGCGGCGUGCUUAACACAUGCAAGUCGAACGAUGAAGCCCUUCGGGGUGGAUUAGUGGCGAACGGGUGAGUAACACGUGGGCAAUCUGCCCUUCACUCUGGGACAAGCCCUGGAAACGGGGUCUAAUACCGGAUACCACUCCUUCUCGCAUGGGAAGGGGUUGAAAGCUCCGGCGGUGAAGGAUGAGCCCGCGGCCUAUCAGCUUGUUGGUGAGGUAGUGGCUCACCAAGGCGACGACGGGUAGCCGGCCUGAGAGGGCGACCGGCCACACUGGGACUGAGACACGGCCCAGACUCCUACGGGAGGCAGCAGUGGGGAAUAUUGCACAAUGGGCGAAAGCCUGAUGCAGCGACGCCGCGUGAGGGAUGACGGCCUUCGGGUUGUAAACCUCUUUCAGCAGGGAAGAAGCGAAAGUGACGGUACCUGCAGAAGAAGCGCCGGCUAACUACGUGCCAGCAGCCGCGGUAAUACGUAGGGCGCAAGCGUUGUCCGGAAUUAUUGGGCGUAAAGAGCUCGUAGGCGGCUUGUCACGUCGGGUGUGAAAGACCGGGGCUUAACCCCGGUUCUGCAUUCGAUACGGGCUAGCUAGAGUGUGGUAGGGGAGAUCGGAAUUCCUGGUGUAGCGGUGAAAUGCGCAGAUAUCAGGAGGAACACCGGUGGCGAAGGCGGAUCUCUGGGCCAUUACUGACGCUGAGGAGCGAAAGCGU